rnacentral:rRNA from 1 species
AGAGUUUGAUCAUGGCUCAGAAUCAACGCUGGCGGCGUGCUCCAGACAUGCAAGUCGAACGCGAAAACUUCCUUCGGGAAGUGAGUAGAGUGGCGCACGGGUGAGUAACACGUAAGUAAUCUACCUUUGGGUGGGGAAUAACUCAGGGAAACUUGAGCUAAUACCGCAUAACGCAGCGGCUCCUUAUGGAGACAGUUGUUAAAGUAUUUAUACGCCUAAAGAGGAGCUUGCGGCAGAUUAGCUAGUUGGUAAGGUAAUGGCUUACCAAGGCAACGAUCUGUAGCCGGCCUGAGAGGGCGGUCGGUCACACUGACACUGAAUAACGGGUCAGACUCCUACGGGAGGCAGCAGUCGGGAAUUUUGGGCAAUGGGGGAAACCCUGACCCAGCAACGCCGCGUGAAGGAUGAAGUCCCUCGGGAUGUAAACUUCGUAAAUAUAGGAAGAAUCAAUGACGGUACUAUAUGUAAGCUCCGGCUAACUACGUGCCAGCAGCCGCGGUAAUACGUAGGGGGCAAGCGUUGUUCGGAUUUACUGGGCGUAAAGGGCGCGUAGGCGGCGUGACAAGUCACUUGUGAAAUCUCCGGGCUUAACUCGGAACGGCCAAGUGAAACUGUCAUGCUAGAGUGCAGAAAGGGCAACUGGAAUUCUUGGUGUAGCGGUGAAAUGCGUAGAUAUCAAGAGGAACACCUGAGGCGAAGGC